rnacentral:lncRNA from 1 species
ACGGGGCUCUGCACCGCACACAGCCUUCUCCGGCACCUGGCUGGUACGGGGCAGUGUGGCCAGCAGCACUCUAUAGCCAGCAGCUUCCCUUGAACCCCUGUUGGGAAGUAAUACAUCAGACUGCUUCUGGUGAGACACUUUCCUGUGUACAACAUUCCCAGAUACCCCAAAGGCAUAUUUCCGGCAACUUUCAGAGGGCAGGUUUCUGGAAAGUUCUACUGAUGUGGCACCACAGCAACUUUACUGCCAUUCUCUGAGUUGCUUCUAGUCAUCUCCAAUAAGUGAAUGAGGACUGAUGAAGCAGAUGAGUUUGCUGCAGGGUCUGAAAACAAAGUGAAAAGUCCUAGAGAACCCAACAUCUUUCCAUAUCUAAGAAAAGGCUUAAAAGAAGACUCAGGACCUUGAGAAGGACCCGUGAAUCCAUGCGAUGGAAGAAACAGCACCAUGUAUUUAUGCAUAUGACUGCUUAGAGAAUUACCAUCUCCUAGAGGCUGUUCCCCAGCCCCUUGAGUUAUUGCCACC